rnacentral:piRNA from 1 species
UGAUAGGGAAACAGAUUGUGUUCUUGCCUGU